UACAGAGGGGGCAAGCGUUGUUCGGAAUUACUGGGCGUAAAGGGCGCGUAGGCGGCCUGCUAAGUCAUACGUGAAAUCCCUCGGCUCAACCGGGGAACUGCGUGUGAUACUGGCGGGCUUGAAUUCGGGAGAGGGAUGCGGAAUUCCAGGUGUAGCGGUGAAAUGCGUAGAUAUCUGGAGGAACACCGGUGGCGAAGGCGGCAUCCUGGACCGAGAUUGACGCUGAGGCGCGAAAGCCAGGGGAGCAAAGCGGG
rnacentral:rRNA from 1 species